GGCACACUGGCGCAGGGUUAGCACUACUGCUUCACAGCACGAAGGUUGCGGGUUCGAGUCCAGCCUGGGCUA